rnacentral:rRNA from 1 species
ACGAACGUUGGCGGCGUGGAUUAGGCAUGCAAGUCGAACGAAGCCGGGGUAGCAAUAUCCCGGACUGAGUGGCGAAAGGGGCAGUAAGGCGUGGGUAACCUACCCCAGGGACUGGGAUAGCCGUCCUAACGGACGGGUAAUACCGGGCGACGUGGUUGGGGGGCAUCUCUUGACCACCAAAUGAGUUUCGCCCUGGGAGGGGCUCACGUGCUAUUAGCUUGUUGGCGGGGUGACGGCCCACCAAGGCAAAGAUGGCUAGCGGGUGUGAGAGCACGACCCGCGCCACUGGCACUGCGACACUGGCCAGACUCCUACGGGAGGCUGCAGUCGAGGAUCUUCGGCAAUGGGCGCAAGCCUGACCGAGCGACGCCGCGUGCGCGAUGAAGGCCUUCGGGUUGUAAAGCGCUGUCGAGGGGGAGGAAGCCGCAAGGUUGACCUAUCCCUGGAGGAAGCACGGGCUAAGUUCGU